rnacentral:rRNA from 1 species
UACGUAGGGUGCAAGCGUUGUCCGGAAUUAUUGGGCGUAAAGAGCUCGUAGGCGGUCUGUCGCGUCGGAUGUGAAAAUCCAGGGCUCAACCCUGGACCUGCAUUCGAUACGGGCAGACUAGAGUUCGGUAGGGGAGACUGGAAUUCCUGGUGUAGCGGUGAAAUGCGCAGAUAUCAGGAGGAACACCGGUGGCGAAGGCGGGUCUCUGGGCCGAAACUGACGCUGAGGAGCGAAAGCCAGGGGAGCGAACAGG